rnacentral:rRNA from 1 species
GACGAACCCUUGCGGCGUGCUUAACACAUGCAAGUCGAACGGAAAGGCCCUGCUUUUGUGGGGUGCUCGAGUGGCGAACGGGUGAGUAACACGUGAGUAACCUGCCCUUGACUUUGGGAUAACUUCAGGAAACUGGGGCUAAUACCGGAUAGGAGCUCCUGCUGCAUGGUGGGGGUUGGAAAGUUUCGGCGGUUGGGGAUGGACUCGCGGCUUAUCAGCUUGUUGGUGGGGUAGUGGCUUACCAAGGCUUUGACGGGUAGCCGGCCUGAGAGGGUGACCGGCCACAUUGGGACUGAGAUACGGCCCAGACUCCUACGGGAGGCAGCAGUGGGGAAUAUUGCACAAUGGGCGGAAGCCUGAUGCAGCAACGCCGCGUGCGGGAUGACGGCCUUCGGAUUGUAAACCGCUUUCGCCUGUGACGAAGCGUGAGUGACGGUAAUGGGUAAAGAAGCACCGGCUAACUACGUGCCAGCAGCCGCGGUGAUACGUAGGGUGCGAGCGUUGUCCGGAUUUAUUGGGCGUAAAGGGCUCGUAGGUGGUUGAUCGCGUCGGAAGUGUAAUCUUGGGGCUUAACCCUGAGCGUGCUUUCGAUACGGGUUGACUUGAGGAAGGUAGGGGAGAAUGGAAUUCCUGGUGGAGCGGUGGAAUGCGCAGAUAUCAGGAGGAACACCAGUGGCGAAGGCGGUUCUCUGGGCCCUUCCUGACGCUGAGGAGCGAAAGCGUGGGGAGCGAACAGGCUUAGAUACCCUGGUAGUCCACGCUGUAAACGGUGGGUACUAGGUGUGGGGUCCAUUCCACGGGUUCCGUGCCGUAGCUAACGCUUUAAGUACCCCGCCUGGGGAGUACGGCCGCAAGGCUAAAACUCAAAGGAAUUGACGGGGCCCCGCACAAGCGGCGGAGCAUGCGGAUUAAUUCGAUGCAACGCGUAGAACCUUACCUGGGUUUGACAUGGAUCGGGAGUGCUCAGAGAUGGGUGUGCCUCUUUUGGGGUCGGUUCACAGGUGGUGCAUGGCUGUCGUCAGCUCGUGUCGUGAGAUGUUGGGUUAAGUCCCGCAACGAGCGCAACCCUUGUUCACUGUUGCCAGCACGUUAUGGUGGGGACUCAGUGGAGACCGCCGGGGUCAACUCGGAGGAAGGUGGGGAUGACGUCAAGUCAUCAUGCCCCUUAUGUCCAGGGCUUCACGCAUGCUACAAUGGCUGGUACAGAGAGUGGCGAGCCUGUGAGGGUGAGCGAAUCUCGGAAAGCCGGUCUCAGUUCGGAUUGGGGUCUGCAACUCGACCUCAUGAAGUCGGAGUCGCUAGUAAUCGCAGAUCAGCAACGCUGCGGUGAAUACGUUCCCGGG